rnacentral:rRNA from 1 species
AAUAUUGGUCAAUGGAGGCAACUCUAACCACCAUGCCGCGUGAAGGAAGAAUGUCUACGGAUUGUAAAUCUUUUAUUUGGGAAGAACUCCCUCUACGUGUAGAGGGCUGACCGGUACCAMACGAAUAAGGAACCGGCUAACUCCGUGCCAGCAGCCGCCGGUAAUACCGSAGGGUCCAAGCGUUAUCCGGGAAUCAUUUGGGUUUAAAGGGUUCGCAGGCCGGUUUAUUAAGUCAGUGGUGAAAGCSUACAGCUCAACUGUAGAACUGCCAWUGAUACUGAUWGWCUUGAAUUUAGUUGAAGUAGGCGGAAUGUGUAGUGUAGCGGUGAAAUGCUUAGAUAUUACACAGAACACCGAUWGCGAAGGCAGCUUACUAAACUACGAUUGACGCUCAUGGACGAAAGCGUGGGGAGCGAACAGGAUUAGAUACCCUGGUAGUCCACGCAGUAAACGAUGAUUACUCGUUAUUGGCGAUAUACGGUCAGUGACUAAGCGAAAGUGAUAAGUAAUCCACCUGGGGAGUACGGUCGCAAGA